AUAUCUUCCUGAUUUAUUUUUCUGAGAUAACUACAUUGGUUAGAACUUCUAAAACAAAGGUGAGUGAUAAUAGUGGUCAUAAAUAUCCUUAUCUCAUUUAUGACUUUAUGAUAAAAGAAUUUUAAAAAUAUUUCAAACAUCAAAAUAAUAAAAUGUUGUAAUUCAGACAACUUUUUCCAUAUAGUUUUCUUAUAAACAGUCCUUUAAAUACAAACUCUGGAUUGCUUCUAAAUUGUGACAUUCUCUUUUGGGAAAAAAGUACUAAACAUUUUACAUUAAAACAAUCUUUUUUAACUAAAUUGAACACAUACUUUUAAUAAAGACCACAGUAAUUUUUAACACUGGAAAUACAAAGGAUAAAAUAGAAAAUUAUUUUAUUCUUGCAAAUUAAUUUGCAAGACAAAAGAAAUUCAGACAAUAAUGCAGUUUGUACAAUAACCCAAAAUCAAUUAUUUUGUUAAAUAAUAUAUAUGAUAUAAAUAACAGAAAAAAUUAGAACACCAUUUGCAAUAAAAAAUAUUGAGCCCUUUAACUUUAAGGAUAACAUUUUCAUCUAGUAUUCUUGACUUCUUGUGUUUUCGACCUAAAACAGCAUAUACAUUUGGAAAGGAGACUCAAUUUUUCACAAUUCAUACCCCUAUACUCCCACACCCUGAGAAGGCAUAUAAAUUAUUUCUAGAUAUGAAGGUCUUUAAUAUAAAUCAUGCCCCUAAAUUGCUAAGCCCCAAAAUGAGGAAUACUGAAGUCACAAAACAUUUAAGCUCUUCUUUAAGUUAAACAACAGAAGAAAGGACACUAUAUCAAAACUCUACACUAAGUCAAAUAUUCUAGAAGAUUUCCCAAGCCUUAACAAAAUACAUGAUUGCUUGAGGGUUGUAAGUCCAAAGGCAAAAUUGUAAAGCAGAAUAAGAACAUAUUUACUGAACAUUUAUAAAUGAGCCAGACUCUAAGCUAUGAGCCUUAUAUACAUUAUCUCCUAUCACUGAUUUACCUUAUCCCAGCAAGGAAAGUAUUGCCACACUACUGGCUUCACAUUGCCCUUGCUACACAAUCUUCCAUAAGCACUUUCUGUAUAUGGAUUGUAAAUGGCUCCUUGGGACUGACCAUAUGUCUUCUGGAGAAAGGUUGGGGAAGCUUCACUGCAAACAUGGUCUGAGCUUAGGCUGGUCACAGAUUGAUUACUUGGAGACCACUGCAAUCAGCAAAUAAGAGUAACCAUAUACUAGCAUCAGUGAUAGGGGACAAGGUACAAUGACACUGAAGUGGGUCCAGAUGGUCUUCUUUUUUACUGCUCUUAUGGGACACUUUCCUUGAAUUAGAGUAAGGCUGGCUAAGAAACUCCGGAUUUACUUUUUUACAGAUUUUCCAGAAUAUCAAAUAAGGGAAAUUGAUCAAGCAAAACAUACCAAUUCAACAAAACUAGCCCACAGAGCAGUUAUAGUACCUUACAGUAAAAGAUGCUACAAAUUUAAGCAACCUCGGGUUUUCUUCAUUCUUUAAUACACCAACACAUCUAACACAUGUGUGAACUAUUCAUUUGGAAGAGCCAAAAGACUAUCAAAUAAGUUUAUUGCUUCAUAUAUAUCUAUUCCUGGUAUUCAUAUUCCUGUACCAAGCUUCAAGCAAAGAAGGAGCAUCCAAAUUAAGCCUAAGAAAUAGAAAGUAUCUGGAAAGAAUCAACAGUGCCUAAUGAGUAGGUACGGCAUGGAAUCAAGAUAUGAAAUUCUAUAUGUUGAGCUGCUGAUACGUUUUGGAGAGAUACUACACAUAUGUCUCUGCUCUGAUGUCAUAAAGCUUUGAUCACAUCAAGUUUCAAUGGCUUACAACUGCUUCACUUUUACACAGAAUUUUUGAACUAAAAGGGCCCUCAGAGAGAAUCUCGCCUGAUCCAUUCAUUUUGAAUAAUACAAACUGACUUUCUUCAUUCUGGACGACUUUUUCCAAGGUUGUGGCAGCCUGUACAGUGAUCUUCCUUUCCCUGAAAAUCCACAGGGGCAACGAGCCCAACUAGCAACAUUCAAUAUCUGGGCUUCACCUUGACCCAGAAAAUGCAAAUCAAACUAUGCUGAAAGCUUCAUACAAAGGAACUGAAAGAUUGAUUCCUACAAGGUACAGCAUGGAAUGUUAUAAUUUCAUACCAGGGUAGGUAAGUUUUUGAUAAAAGCACUUGCUGAGAUUUCUAAUUUCUUCCCUCAAGGGCAUGAAACUAAGCAAAUUAAUCACUCUAACAUCUAGACUCUUAAGGCAGAGGCCCAUUUAUUAGAAUAUGUUCAAUAGCAGAAGACAUGCUAUGUAUCAUCACACGCCCGCACCUGAUCCUCAACUCUCUGGGCCCAGCGAGCAGCAUCGUUACAGACGCUUAACACAGUUUAACGAAUUUCUCUGAUACACCAACAGUGGCUUGGUCCAUGGUUCCACGGCUCUGCCUCCCAGGGACCAUCAACAACCAAAGGCCCUUUCUCAGUGGUUUUCUUUGAGAUGUUCAGAAGACACCCACACACACCUAACACUGCCCCCACCCACCUGGUUCUGUACCCUUAUAGAGUUGAACAGUUCUCCCUUCCAGCCAAGGGCAGAAAUGAGGAACCUGCCAGAUCGGAGAGUUCCCAAAUCUAAUCACCAUUUAUGCUAGAAUUCCUUCAGCUGCAAAUAAUGCAGGGUCUCAUCUUAGCAGUGACAAGAUAUCUGCCAGCAGCACCAGGCCUACAUCUUCCCAGCUUUAAAUUCAGUGAAAAGACAGGAUCUCUUUCUAAAGCACUGCAAUAAAAUUUCCAGAAUGAAAACUCAUCAGCUUAAUUGGCCUCUGUUGGUUAUCUGCCCAUUUGUGAACCAAUCACUGUGGUCUGAGAGGUGCAAGGACUCCUCUGAUUGGCCUGGCCUGGGCCAUUUGCCCACUUCCGGCAUCAGAAGGAAGGACAGUUUCAAAAGGCAAACUGGGUGUUGCUACAGGAGAGCAUUCAGGCAAACCACAGCCAAUCUCAGGACUCUCCUUGUUCUGCCUUGUCUUCAAAUCCUCUUGCACAUUUUUCCAGCCUCGGACCCGCUGUGCCUCACCAUGUUCAUCUAGCAUAGGACCCUCAAUACAUUUCUCUGACACAGGGAAAACCCAUUUGGUGUAGUGAAUGACCCUAGAGUCAAACAGCCUGGGUUCUAAUUCUGGCUCUAUCAUUUUAGCAAGCUGUAUAAUCUCUCCGUGCCUCAGUUUCCUCAUCAAAAAAAAAAAGGCAGGUGGGCUGGGAGCAGUGGCUCAUG
rnacentral:lncRNA from 1 species